UUUUUACCGUAAACUGCGUUAGGGAUGGGAGCGGUAUCCUUUUGAGACACACUACACUUCUGGAAAAGCAGCCUAAAUCUCUCUCGCAAAAGAUUUAGCGGACAGCCCGGCCCGGA
rnacentral:sRNA from 1 species